AUGCAGGAGCUAUUCACAGGCACUAGUGCUGAUGGUUUUUUGGCCAUGGACCAGCAUACAUGCACAAUUGAUUUCGAUGACUCGGACAAUGAUGAAGGGUUGUAUGAUCUCAACUGCUAUCCACAGUAUGAGGGCCCUCUUGAGGAGGAUUCUGACACUUUGCCAACAACACAUUGUGGUGAUAAUUCAACAUCUAGCACUAGCCGAGUUGGUAAGAAGCGCCCAAGAGGUAGCAAGUCACCUACUAAGAAGCCACCAAGAACCAAGAGUCGUUUCGUGGAGCCCGCUGAAGAAAUCAACUCUACAUUGAGGUCACUCCAGCAAUCCCUUGUUGCCGCUCCUCCUCCAAUGCCCCAAGUUGUUGAUCCUUAUGCUAGUUUAUGGAAGAGGUUGGAGGAACUCCCAAUUACCACAGAUCAAAGAAUUACUGUUGGUGUGCACUUAUCUUGCAAGGACAAUGAAGGUUUGCGUGGUUGGUUAUGCAGUGCAAGUGAAAAAACUUUUGAAACUUGGGUUUGCAAGUUCUUUGCUGACAAAGAUCAUGUUUAUAGCAACAUGUGA
rnacentral:rRNA from 1 species